rnacentral:rRNA from 1 species
CCCUUAGAUGUCCUGGGCCGCACGCGUGCUACACUGACGCCUACAGCGAGUACUUCCCAGCCCCGAGAGGUGGCUGGUAAUCAGCAAUAGGCGUCGUGAUGGGGAUAGAUCUUUGGAAUUAUGGAUCUUGAACGAGGAAUGCCUAGUAAGCGCAGGUCAUUAGCCUGCGCUGAUUAAGUCCCUGCCCUUUGUACACACCGCCCGUCGCUCCUACCGAUUUCGAGUGGUCCGGUGAAUCUUUCGGACUGCGCGCGGCCUCGUGCCGUGUCGCGGAAAGUCAGGUAAACCUUAUCAUUUAGAGGAAGGAGAAGUCGUAACA